UUAAAUUAUGAGAUAGAUAAGGUAGAUAGGGCAGUAACAUUAGAAAUUGCUUCGCUCCCCGUGCCGUCCUUGACAGCCUCCGCGCCGCCCCUCAUCGAUCCAGCCAGCGCCCCGGAUCGUCCUCCUCUCCUCUCCUCUCCUCGCUCCACCCAGCGCCGAGGCUGCGGAUUUUCCUCGCUCCAGUCAGCGCCGGCGCCCUCCCCCGCGGUUCCCCGCCCUCCUAAGGCGUCGGAUCGGACCAUAGUCCCCCGCCCUCCAUCCAGCGCCGGCGCCAUCACCAGGUCAAGCUGGGGAGAAGCCCAACCCCAAUCGACCGAUUCCCCUCUCAUCUCUUCCGCGCUCGUCUCCCUCAGCUGAUCUGCAAAGUCUCUCCAGGAACUCGGCGAGGUAUACGGGUAGCACAUGGAGCCGAUGGAACGCUGACCGGAGGGGACCUAUGCAUCAGGUGACCGCACUACGAGGGACAUUCAGUGAGAAGGGGAUCUGACCAAGUUUGGAUUUUGCCUUUUCUUCUGGAGGUUCUUUUGUUGUUCUAGGAUAAUCUCGGAGGACUUUGCAGCAAGGAAUGAAAGGAAGCUAUCACAUAUAUUCAUGACUCAUUAGUCAAACAUGUCAUCUUGGAGGAAAUUGGUCUAACAGAGUAGUUAUGCCAUAUUGUGUUGUAUAAAGAUGCUUUGCUUUGAGAAUUGUGGGAACAAUGAUGACAUUUUGGUCCUCCUUGAACUCAGUUAUGUGAAUAAUAUUAUCUUGUGCAAAA